rnacentral:rRNA from 1 species
UACGGGGGGGGCAAGCGUUGUUCGGAAUUACUGGGCGUAAAGGGCCAGUAGGCGGCCAACUAAGUCGGAUGUGAAAUCCCCAGGCUUAACCUGGGAACUGCAUCCGAUACUGGAUGGCUUGAAUUCGGGAGAGGGAUGCAGAAUUCCAGGUGUAGCGGUGAAAUGCGUAGAUAUCUGGAGGAAUACCGGUGGCGAAGGCGGCAUCCUGGACCGGCAUUGACGCUGAGGAGCGAAAGCCAGGGAGCAAACGGG